rnacentral:rRNA from 1 species
AGCUCCAAUAGCGUAUACUAACGUUGUUGCAGUUAAAGCUCGUAGUUGGAUUUUAAGGGUGCCAGCUGGGCGAGGCCUUUAGUGUCUCUGCCUAGGAUGGUUCCUCUUAUUUUGCGCUUACGCUCGAUUGGGAUUCGUUUCCUGAUUGUGCAGUCGGCGCGUGUUUACUUUGAGAAAAUUAGAGUGUUCAAAACAGUCUCACGAUUGUAUAUCAUAGCAUGGAAUAAUAACUGAUGACUUCGGUCAAUUUUUAUUGGUUUGGAUGGCUGAUGUAAUGAUUGAUAGAGUUAGUCGGAGGUAUUAGUAUUUUAUCGUUAGAGGUGAAAUUCACGGAUCGAUAAAAGACUAACAACUGCGAAAGCAUUUAUCUAGGAUUUGCUCU